rnacentral:misc_RNA from 1 species
UUAAGUUCAGCGGGUAUUCCUACCUGAUCCGAGGUCAACGCUUCGUGGUUUGGGUGUUUUACGGCGUGGCCGCGCCGCGCUCCCCUUGCGAGCGUUAGCAUGAGCUACUGCGCACGGGAGGCUGCGGCGUGGCCGCCACUGAAUUUCGGGGGCGGCGACCGCGCUGGGCGGUGCCGGUCCCCAACGCCGGGCCCCCUGGG